rnacentral:rRNA from 1 species
UGUGACCUCAAAUCAGGUAGGACUACCCGCUGAACUUAAGCAUAUCAAUAAGCGGAGGAAAAGAAACUAACAAGGAUUCCCCUAGUAACUGCGAGUGAAGCGGGAAAAGCUCAAAUUUAAAAUCUGGCGGUCUUUUGGCUGUCCGAGUUGUAAUCUAGAGAAGUGUUAUCCGCGCUGGACCGUGUACAAGUCUCCUGGAAUGGAGCAUCAUAGAGGGUGAGAAUCCCGUCUUUGACAUGGACUGCCAGGGCUUUGUGAUGCGCUCUCAAAGAGUCGAGUUGUUUGGGAAUGCAGCUCAAAAUGGGUGGUAAAUUCCAUCUAAAGCUAAAUAUUGGCGAGAGACCGAUAGCGAACAAGUACCGUGAGGGAAAGAUGAAAAGAACUUUGGAAAGAGAGUUAAACAGUACGUGAAAUUGCUGAAAGGGAAACGCUUGAAGUCAGUCGCGUCGUCCAGGGAUCAACCUUGCUUUUGCCUGGUGCACUUCCUGGUUUGACGGGUCAGCAUCAAUUUUGACCAUUGGAAAAAGGCUUAGGGAAUGUGGCAUCUUCGGAUGUGUUAUAGCCCUGGGUCACAUACAAUGGUUGGGAUUGAGGAACUCAGCACGCCGCAAGGCCGGGUUUUAAACCACGUACGUGCUUAGGAUGCUGGCAAUAUGGCUUUAAUCGACCCGUCUUGAAACACGGACCAAGGAGUCUAACAUGCCUGCGAGUGUUUGGGUGGAAAACCCGAGCGCGUAAUGAAAGUGAAAAGUUGAGAUCCCUGUCGUGGGGAGCAUCGACGCCCGGACCAGACCUUUUGUGACGGUUCCGCGGUAGAGCAUGUAUGUUGGGACCCGAAAGAUGGUGAACUAUGCCUGAAUAGGGUGAAUCCAGAGGAAACUCUGGUGGAGGCUCGUAGCGAUUCUGACGUGCAAAUCGAUCGUCAAAUUUGGGUAUAGGGGCGAAAGACUAAUCGAAC